GGGCUGUUGGUCUAGAGGUAUGAUUCUCGCUUUGGGAUCCCUACACCCACAAGUUCUUCUGCGAGAGGUCCCGGGUUCGAUCCCCGGACAGCCCC